rnacentral:rRNA from 1 species
GACGAACGCUGGCGGCGUGCUUAACACAUGCAAGUCGAACGGAAAGGCCCCUUUGGGGGUCCUCGAGUGGCGAACGGGUGAGUAACACGUGCGUAACCUGCCCUUGACUUCGGGAUAACUUCAGGAAACUGGGGCUAAUACCGGAUAGGAAUCCUUGCUGCAUGGUGGGGGUUGGAAAGCUUCGGCGGUUUUGGAUGGACUCGCGGCUUAUCAGCUUGUUGGUGGGGUAGUGGCUUACCAAGGCUUUGACGGGUAGCCGGCCUGAGAGGGCGACCGGCCACAUUGGGACUGAGAGACGGCCCAGACUCCGACGGGAGGCAGCAGUGGGGAAUAUUGCACAAGGGGCGGAAGCCUGAUGCAGCAACGCCGCGUGCGGGAUGACGGCCUUCGGGUUGUAAACCGCUUUCAGCAGGGGCGAAGCUUGUGGUGACGGUACCUGCAGAAGAAGCACCGGCUAACUACGUG